UAGCCUUUGCCCUCUUAAAAGAUGGCGUUGUGUAGCGUGCGUGAGUAACCUACUUAUACAUUUACUAUAACGGUUUCGAGCCGAGUUUUAUAAGUUUGUGUAUACUUUACACAAUCCGGUGAAAUAUUUCAUGGCUGUUAUUGUGGGAGUGUUAUGCGAGUCGCAAUCUGGUCUUAACGAGAGGGAUGAGCGAGGGUGAAAGUGUUCAGCCGGAUGACGCGUCGUGGGCAGCGAACACAGCGGCAGAGAUGCCCACGCAGAUGCCCCUCGUCGUGCCCCCGAUGGUGCUGCAGUCGCCCCCUGCUGGCGAGGGCAAGCGACGGCACCUCAAGUCCCGGCGGAUGAUCGAGUACGAGAAGGAGAAAGACCGGGCUGCCCCACAGAAGCAGCGGAUGUGCCCCCACCCCGGGUGCAAAAAGCUCUUCUCUAGCGCUCCUGGACUCCGCUACCACGUCAAGACCCACUCCCCCGACGCCGCAAACUUCCGCUGCGACCGCUGCCGCAGAGAGUUCAAAAGUAACAAUGGCUUGAAGUAUCACAUUCAGCGCAGGAAGUGUCCAGAGGGUGUUGCAGCCAUAACUGUGAUACCAGAUCAGCCAGUAAUACCAAUAGGGCAAAUCCCAACAUUGGAGAGACGGGAAGAAUCCCCAGUUUCAAAUGUGCAUAUCAGUGAAGAAAAAUAUGAAGAGAAUAUUAGGACCAAAUCUUUGCCACUUUUGCUGGACGAGCCCCAGCACAGGAAAGUGGAGACACGAUGGGAAAGAACAAAAGCUACAGCGGAGGCCAAAAAUAGACCACCAUCAUUGCAGCAGCAAACGGACUUGGGUUAUCAGGACCAGCGGCUAAUGCAGUUUGCAAAUAUCGCCACUGGUCCACAGAGCCCCUUGCUGCAGCCAAAACCAAUUGACUGGGACCAGCAGAGGGUUCCAACAGGAGAAAAGGUGGCUACACCAACUCCAUCGGACCCACAGGUGUACAUGAACCGCCAUGCUCCAACUCCCCCCAGCCCAUCUUCCACAGCCCCCAGUCCUCAUAUGACAUCGUUAAGUCCAAGGUCGGAUCUCAGUCCAUUGGACACUUCUGCUAUCUAUGCUCUCAGUACCAUGGCCCAGCAGUGCAGAAGCAGUAUUUGUCACGAUGCCUACUUGCAGAAGAAAAGUCAAGAGGUCUCCUCUGGCAAACAGAUGGCACCAAAAGGGCAACACCUUCAAGGGGAUGCCAAAGGCAAGCGGCCAAUGAACUCCUUCAUGAUGUGGUCACAAAUCAAGCGGCCCGAACUGAGUCAGAAGUACCCAAAAACUGACAAUAGGGAGAUCAGCACUAUGCUAAGUAAAGAGUGGAACCAGCUUGACCCAGGAAAGAAAAAGGAGUUCCAGGAGAAAGCCAAGGUUAGAGCUGCGCAGCAGAAACAGCAGCACCCUGACUGCUGGAAACGAAAGAAAUAAUGGUUGUGUACAUGGAGAUAACAUCUGACUAUACCAGUAUGUGCAUUAUUUGGAUCUCAAGCCAAUGACACACUGUCAUUGACACACUGCCAUUUUCAAGUCUGCACAGUCCUCCAUGAGGGCUGUUUCUCUGCUGCAUCCGUUUGUGCUCAAACAACAAAAUUUUCCAUGUCAGUACAAUCCUUCCUACUGUUGUCCUGUGGUGAGACUGAAAGCAGUCCUGUGCAGCUGCUUAACAUUUUAGUGCUUGAUCAUCAGUAUCAGUGACAAUAUCAUAUUUUGUAUCAGGAUUGCUUUACAAUUCAUCACUUCAUCAAAGAUUGGAUAUGUUAGUCUGUAGAUGUUUUCAGCACCAGCAUCAGCUAUGUUAUCUGCCCUUGGAGACUGGAUCACAUCUUAGGCAUCAUGCAAGGAAAGUUGAAGCAUCACAUGUACAUAGACACAAAUACAGUUGAAGAUAAAUACUUAUUAUGUUUUUUCAUUCACAAAAUGUAAUCACAAAUUCAUUGUCGCCUAUGCAAGUACAUUUACUUCGUACAUAAGCAUGAAAAAUGCUCUGCAGACAAAGUGAUAUGCACAAUGCACUCAGACACACACACCGGCCCAUGAAUAUACAGCACAUUGCUGAUGCUGGUCUGAUCAUAAUUCAGUGACUGAUAACACAACAAUGUGAACACUUGGAGGACGCUGCAUUAUCAAGUAAUGCCAAGACUAGUGAGUUGUUAAAGGUGCAUGAUAUUAUAGUUGUGAAAAAUAAAACUUAUCGUUGAGUCACAAGGUUCAGAACUAUGUCCUAUCAAGGAUCUCUAUCAUUCAACAAGUACAUCAAACUGGACUGUUCGUCAGAAUUCCUCGUUUUAGAUACCUUGGUGUAAAAACUACUCCAAAACACUGGCACCUGUGAUGGGAGAUAAGAACUACAAGCUACUAACACUGGUAGAUAUGGCGCAAUGACUAAUGUGGUGCUAUUUUAUAAAAACCGAUAUGAAGCUCGUCUAAAGCGGUUGGAUCUAUUUUCAAUGAUUUUAGACUUUAUAUUAUCAAAACUUUCACCUCGAGAUCAUGCCCUGUUCUAGUGAUAACUGCAAGGCCAUGUUAUUGAGGUAGUACUGACAGUUGAUUGUAUCCCACGCCAGGUUGGCUACUAUCUUCUUUGAUAGUUGAGGCUUUUACUAAGGGUUUCCUCCUCCCUGUUGCCUUUUUUGGCUUUUGGCUUGUUCUACCUGUCAUUUAACUAUAGCUGGAACUCUUUAUUAGGUAUUGCUGUCAUUGGGAAUUCUUUUAUCCUGACCUACCUGCUGCAUUGAAAUUAACGAGUUUCAUCUGUCUGUGCUUUUGGUCUGGAGUUUACCUUUUCCCUGAUACUGUUUACUGGAGGUUUGGUUUGGGGACCAUGCACAUCACAUGUAUAUGGGCUGAAACUUUUGAACAUGCAAAGGUCAUGAACAUUGCUAAGUAUAUCAGGUGGUUGUGUGAUGCGUUAAGUGUGUUGGAGAAGUGUCUGGAUGCAUGUCAGCACAUUCUCAGCCCUUACUGGCUUGCACCACUCUGCUGAAAAGACAGCAGCCUGUGUUUCUGUGAAAGAUCCUGUGUAGGUGAACUGGUGGGAACUGGGUGUCACUUGGCUCCAAGCAAAACUGCAAGAAUUCAAAAGGUUCGGCCCCUAUACAUGUGAUAUGUCACACCCAGAUCUUUAUGAAACUCAAAUUUUUAGAAACCCAAAGAUGGACUUGUGACACUCUAAAAUCCAGAUUUUUUUUUUUAUUUCUCACAUUUAGAAAUUUCAUUUUAACAGCCAGUGUUUAUUCACUGAACAUAUUUUAAUAUGUGAAAUAUUUUUAAAUGGGAAUAGAUGUGAUGCAGCAAAAUUGCAGCAUUUAUAGUAGAAGAGUUUUAAUAUUAAACAUUUUACUGUGUAUAUUAGGUUGAGUGCAAACUGUGCUGAGCUAGCGAUUCUUGUUAACUACAUUUCAGUGAUUUAUGCAGAAUGAGCAAACAAAAAAAAAAAACCUUUAAUUGUAGUUCACUAACUAAAUAUUACAAAAACCUACAUAACAUGUUAAAUUUAAAAUGUAAAUUUUGAAGCUUAUUUAUCAACCAUCAACUUUGGGAUGCUACAAAGGGUCUUGCAAGAAAAAGAUGACAGGUGUGUACCAUGUGAUAUAAGGAAGUGCACGUUGAGCAUUUGUUGACCGAAAAUUUGUUAAAACAUUUACUUAAAGUAAUGAUCAUACAGAGAACAUUACUCUUAGUUUACUAAAGAACACAUUUCCUAGGAGAGGAGAAAGCUGUUGAUAAUUAUAUAUAAGAUCUUUAAAAGUGUGAAAGUGUAGGCAGUGUGAUAAACAAUGAAAAUUAGAUGUUAACUGAUAACGCUGUUUGGAUCACCUGCUUUACAAAGAUGUUUGUUAUGAUAAUGCGGUCACUGAAGAACCUAUGCAUUCAUAUGAUAAUGUUGUUGCUGGGUCAGCUGUUCUGGAUUGUGCUUCAUUCUCUUUUGAAUCAUCCUGCAUUUUGAUCCAGUUAUUUCUAAGUAUAUUACUACACCAUUGUCUGAAUAUGUUACUCUGCUUUAACACCUGUUACCUGAUGAUAUGAAAACUGUUGACAGUUUUGAGUGAUUAUCAUUUGUUUAAUCUAAGUUGGUUUUUGUUUAUAUUUUUUGUGUUACUUUUUAAUUAAUGACAGUUGUAAGGACAUCGUGCUUUUUUGUGUUUGACUAGAACUGUUUUAACUGACUUUAGAUUUUAUCUUUGUUAAAUGUUUAGUUAAUAAGUCAUAACUCUAUGUGUGGAUAAAUGUUUGGAAAGCAGGAUUGCUAGAGAGCUAGUAAGGGUUUUAGAAAACAGGUUUUGGCUCUGCGUGACAGCUGUUAACCACAAUUCAAGGUUCACGUUUAUAAAUCAUGCUUGCCUAACUGGUAAUUAGCCCACCAAUAUUCAGUUAGUUUUUCAUCAGUGAUAAUUGGUUUGAUACAAUGAGUAUCAGUGCAUAGUGGCAGACCUAUUACCUAGCAGGUAAUCUAUUUAUUUAAUUUUUGGCCUAUGAUAGCAUUAUAGCUACCAUAUGACGAUGCUGCAAUCAAAAACAACUACAGUAUGCAUUUAACAUCAAAAGUAUUGUAAAUGCCUCUUUGAUCACGAUGCUUCUUUUUCACUUUGCAUUUAUUCUUCAUCUUGGCACCAUGUCAGCGAUUCCUCUAAAGUUUAUAUGUUUUGGCUAAAUCAUUCUUGAAUAGUAAUUGGAACAUGCAGCUGUAUGUGCAUUUGUGUCCAUAACUGGGAAUCACCCUUAGAAAGUAGCCUAACAUUCAGUUUAGGUGGAGAUCCUUUCUGCCAUAAAUGUACCUAAAGGUGGAUUUUGUUAAGAUAACUCCUGGUCAAAUAAUGUGUUGGGGACUGUAUCUUGCAGGUCAUUUGUCACAUUUGAUGUACAGAAUCUUUGAGAGAUGGUUCAGUAAUUGUGUUUCCAUUCCUACAAUCCCUCAGCUGUACUUGUGUCCAAAGCUGAGGGAUCAUUUUAUUCUAAAUCUCUUGACAUGGGUGAUCAUCCUGUCAAGCCUGCAAGUUUUUAAGGUCAGUCUGUGACAUUUGUUUGGCCAGGGAGUUUCUCUUUUCACCAACAUUUUUUCACAUAACUCUGUUCUGUCUUUCAGCAAACUUCAGUUUUGCUUUUGAAGUACUAUGAAAUUCAUUAGAGGCAAGUUCUCUGUUUUGAUCUGUGAGGUCUGGUGUCCUGGUUCACAUGGCUCAUGCUGGCACAUUAAUUUUGGCACUCAAAUGAGUCCUCUAAAAUAAACACAUUCCUUUCUUUCUGGGGACUUUUAACUAGUCACAGUUUAGCUAGUCUUGCUGUGACCAGCAAACCACUGCAAAAGAAGCAAGGUAUUUAUAUGGUCCUCUUUGUGUCCCAGAAUGCUUUGUCAACAUAAAUAUUUUGAGCUAGCUGUGCUUAUCACACCUUGGCCAUGCAGUGAUUAGUUAAAAAUUCCUUUUAGAAAGCCUUGGUACAUGCUGCAAUCAUCCUCUUAUACAGAGUAGCAUUUGUUGCCAAGAAGCAAUUGUUUCACAUCAGAAGACUUAAAGAUGUCUAAGGUAAAGACAUUUCAUGACUAGCACGUUAGAUGUUAAAUGAGAAGAAAGACUCUCUUGUAUCUAAAGUGUAUCUGAAGACAAGAUCAUGGAGAGGGGAUUACAUUUUUUAAAAUGUAUAAUGAAGAGAAGGAAAAUAUUCUGUUUUGUCAUCGUCUUGGAUUUUUUUUUAAGCCAACGGUGAGUAGCACCCAGAUAUAUACAUCUUUUAAGAAGCUAGAACAAAGCUUUUCCGUGGCAUAUUCAAUGUGAUAACAUAUUCGCCCUGGCCUUUUCUUGGCAAAGGUGGCAGGAGUCCUUGGUCUUAUGUGAUAAUCCAUGCAAGUAGCUUUAUUUAAGUGUGUGGUUAAUAAAGUUCCAAGCUCUCAUUGCAAAAAAAAAAAAAAAUGAUUGUUUCUAACAUUUAAAGAAAAUUAUCAUUUUAGAGUACUCUGUGAUUUAGUAGUCUUAGUAUUUUCAUUAAUUUUCUGUCAUGUUGUUCAAGCUGAGGUGAAAAUAAAUAUUUACACUGUAGUAUAUUGUGUACCUACACAUGAACGGUUGAUUGGUCAAUAUUUGUUGACAUGUGGAUAAUAGAGCUCUCUAAGUUUGAGCAGCAGAAGUGCUCAUUGUUGAACUUUGUGUGGCAACUUGAAAAGUUGAUAACUUUACUUAUGAGCAGUUGAAAUUGUUCAACAUGUUGAGUGUGAAGCUGAUAAAGGUUCUACUUUGUAUUGACAGCUAGCUUGCAAAGCUCAGCUACCUACAAACAUUUGUUCAGCCUCCAACAUUAGAUUAUUUUCUCUGUGACCACUUGUUGAUGCUGACUACAGUAACUUCUGUCCGCCUCCUCACCUGUCCAUAUGUAGAGAUACUGCCAGACAAACGAGACUACUUUCACAAUGGUACAGAGAUGGAAGGCAGGUGAUGAGAAGAGGUCAGGGGCCAGGUUCACAGCAGGUUGCUGGUAGUUAGCAGCAUGGGUAUUUUGUAACAGACAGCUAAACAGUUUAUGAUUGUGUUAUCUGUGCUUUGCUAUCUGACCCUUGGUAUCUGCUGAUAAGCAUGCCAACAACAAAAAAAAACUACAUUUUAACAUUUUUCUUUUUCGCUAACCCUCAUUUUCUUAUGAACUCUGAAUUCCUUAAAUGUGUUCUUGUGACAUUCAUGUCAAAAGGUUGCAGCAAAGACACCCUUUCUUCAAAAAAAAAAUGCCUUAUUUUUCUUUUACACAAUUCAUGACCCCAAAACAACUUUAUCAUAGCUUUCCUUUAAGUGUGCAUAUUUUUCAGGUAAUGAACCCUUUAAUAUUUAUUCAAAUACAUAUAAUGCCCUGUCUACUUGGCUCCUGAGCAAAUAAAAAAAUAUACUCUCACUUCAUAAAUUAAAAGAAACUCACAAACAUGAAAUAACAUUUUUGCUAUUUUAAAAAUAUCCCAGUGUUAUUGUUGGGCAUAAAAAACUGUAUUUCCAUAUGUAAUAAGCAGAUGUAAAAGUCCUGUAUGAAAAUGAUGACACCACACUAAAAUUUACCUUUGUGGUGAAGCCAUGCUUAAUUGGGUUGUGGUAAAGUGUCAGUCAUCUGAUGACAAAAUCUUUAGUGUUGUGAAGGUUUUGUUUAGCCUGCAAUCAUUGACUGGAGAAGACCAAUAUGCAAAAUGUUUGUGAACUACAGGGUCCCUUGUCAGCAAGCUAUGAUGUUGAUUUUUUUUUUUGUGUGACUUUAUUAGACUUGUUUUGUGAGAGGCAGUUGUUACUUGUUUGGUUUUUAUGCCUUUAUAAAAUCAUGAGCAUUUGUACUCAAAUUCAAUUCAAUGAUGUCAGAGGGACAAUAUCAGCAAAUCUUUCCUAUGUGCCUUGCAGGUACCUACAAGCACUUUAUCUGCUGGCACUAUCAUGUCAUUAGAAUUUUUCUCUCUGUGCAUGUAGUAUUUCCUGAAGGUAACUAUGCAAGUAAUGAAUGCUGCAUACAUGACAGUACAGUCAUUCAAAACUUUUUCUAUCUUAAAAAGAACCCCUGAAAUUCAGCUCAGAGUUAGUCACGGUAUGUGAUUUGACAGGAAAUAAUUUCAACAUUAAAUAGCUUAUAAAAUUUAUCACAACAGAAAUUUGGAUUCUGUAUUUUGUUGGGUUUUUUUCUGUGCUAUGCAAAACAAAACUGGAUUUAACUACAUCUGUGAAGCUAUCAAAAGCUACUCCACCAUAUCUUGACCCAGUGUACGUAUUAUAUUUUUUCAAAGUAGGAGCAGGGAUCACACAGUGUGGGUAUGACAUUUUUUUUAAAGUGGGGGCUCUUGUUGGAUGUUUAUCAUUUUGCUCAUCUGUGCUUUUGAACCACUUGUUGCACCAAAUGUGUUCAUUCAUAGCAAAUGUCGGUUAAAGUUCAUUGCAAAAGUUAUGAACAGCAUACUAUCAUGGUAACUAAAUUAUUUUUGUUCUUAUCAAAAUGCCUGGAAUAGAGCAAGAAUGUGAACCUAAGGGAGGCAACAAUAAAUGUUACAAAUAAAAGUCUGGAACUUUUUUUUUUCCUGUUUAGUAACAAAUAGCAAUACAUCAAAACAAUAUCAUGUAACUGUUCUACAAAGAAACAUCCAUUUCUCUGCAAAACAUCUUUGAAGAUAGCAUUGAUUAUGCAUAAAAGAGCAAACAUGAAAUGUGUACAUGGAACAUGUAAAGUUUUUGAAACUGCAGCAAUGUCAAUAAAUGUUCUUACUGUACAAGAAUAAAAAGAAACAAUCAUUUUUAUACCUUUAAAUAUCCUAGAAUAAAGUAACCAUAUGUAUAUAUUUACUAAAAGGACAAUUGUUUAAAUAACAAGAUGAUAAAAGCUUUACCAGUUUAAUCAACUAAAAGAAAUAAUAUAUACUUUUGACGAAAACCCACUAUUAAUGCAGUAAUAAUGCUACGAAAAAAGAUAUAUCUUUUUAUUAGUUUUAAUUACCAACACAAGGCAAGGGACUCAUCCUUCAUGCAGUUAGAUUUGUGUGGUUUUUCUCUUGGGUAAAUCAAAGAAAACCUUUCCUGAUUUCAAAGGGAAUAUUCUGUUUAUGCUAUCAUCAAAAUGUUAGAAUGGUUCUAAAUGUCCAUUUAAAUGAUAUAUUUGAAAUGACUUGAGCCAUUACAUAAGAUCAAAAGGAAGAAAAUUACUACUUUCUUUUAUAUAUCAGAAAAAUGUAAUUUCUAAAUACUUACACUUAAAAUACCUUUUUAAUGAUCGCAUGCUGACAAACAGGAAAAAAUGGUGGUAUGCAAUUUUAAUCUUGCAACAUCAACACUAACAAGGCCCCAUACAAAGUACAGCAUGGCAUGCAAUGCAGAUUAUUUUUCCACCUUAAAUGCCUUCAAUUUAAAUCAUAUCUGCACACUAAUAAGGAAAAUAUUAAUACAGUGGUAUCUACACACUCUACCACACUUCUUUCUAGAAGGCUUUUCUCAUGAAUAAUAACUUUUCCAUAUCUUCCAUCCAUUAUGUCUUCUCAACCUUUGCCUUGUCACCACUUUUAUUUCUUUCUCUACAUUGAAUGUUUGGCUUGUUUAUGUUUCAAUAUUGUUGAUAUCUUUAACUUAAUAAUGCCAUUCUGAAUGGCUUAUUCACGUUAAAUACAUUAAUCACGUAUGCCACUUGCACCCUUGGUAAUAUCAAGGACAUGUAUAGGUGGAUUGCUGUCUGUCUGCCAAGACCAACGCUUAGCCUCUUGCGAAAUGAUCCGCUGUUAGUCUCGGUGAGCCAUAACAAAAAUAUGAAUAAACCGAAAGCUAUGUCGUCUAAUGCCUCGUUUAAGUAGUUAAUCUGAAAUGUGAAUAAACCGGAAGCUAUGUCCUCCAAUGUCUCAUUUUAGCAGUUUACUGGAAAAAAAAUCGUCUGCCAGCAGUCGGGAUAUUAGCUCGUGGUAAUAGGUUCUUUUCUCAAGUCAACUGUUCUUACUGUUUUCCUUUUUCUUUCACUUUUAGCAAUAGAAAAUUUCUACCAUGAUAACCAUAUGGAAUAGGUAUGUGUGUGUGUAUAUAUAUAUAUGAAAGUAAUAAAAUAAUAUGUGAUCGUGAAUGCAGUACCAGGCAGGUAUUUACUCUUGAAACUGACCUACAAAGUGAAACUUUCCACUUUGUUUCACCCUGAAGCAUCAUGGGUAAGUGUGUUUUAGCACAAAGGUUGCAUGCUGAGCAGGGGGUCAAGGAUUAAAGCAGAAUUCAAAAAAAUUGGUCCAGAAAUGGUGAAGCACAGAGAAAUUCAAGUGCUGAGGUACCACUGUAUAAUAAAAAUACAGAAUAGAAGAAACUUGUAAAAAGCACUCUGGUAUUACCAAGGCAGAAUCAAAAGGUUCUCACAUUCAACUGCUUUUAGAAAUACUUUUUACUUGAAAAUACAUCAUCAAAAACAAAGUUUUCCUCGCUGCCUUACCUCUCUCUCAUAUACACACUCUCAUGUAGCUCACAGGCAAAAAAUGUUCCACACAUUCACAAGUUAAAAUUGGAUUCAUGAAAAAGUAUAGGCAGUUCCCCCCCCCCCCCCC